UGGUGACUGGAGGCGGGAUCGAACCGCCGACCUGUGGGUUAUGAAUCCACCGCUCUAACCAUCUGAGCUACCCAGUC
rnacentral:tRNA from 1 species